rnacentral:lncRNA from 1 species
CGGCAUAACCGUCACUGUAUCCACUGCCGGUGGCUCCACCAGGACCAGCUGCAGCAUAAGCACCGGUUUGACCGUAAGCGCCACUGCUCGAAUAAGCGUUUGCGUUGGGACCAUCCGCAGUGACAUAUCCGCUUGUAUAUCCAUAGGUACUUCCAUAUCCAUCGGCGCUCGGACCUUUAGGACCAGCAGCAGCAUUAGCACCGGAAUACUCCGAAUGGUAGGCACUUGUUGAGGCAGUAACGGCAAGCUCAGCUCCAAGACCGUUGGUAGUGGCAGUUUUGGGAUCAGAGAUGUCUAUUUUGUUCUCUUUGGACACUUCUUCAAGCUGCCUCGCGCCAACUUUGGCACACACAACUCCAACAAAUAUCAUAAGCACAACAAACUUUGUGGCAUUCAUCUUCGAUAUCUCUCUCUUUUUUUUUCCUUACUUUCUUUUAAUAAAGAUGUUUGUUGGUGAGUUUGUGUUGUCUUCCUCCCACAUUUUAGCCACUAUAUAUACACGCACAUGUAUCACACAUUUCUUACAAGAUACAUACGUACUUUUAAUGCACUAGUUAAUGCUUAGGGUUUACACAACUAAUAGUCUUACGUACCAAGAUGUCAAAUUAAUGGUACCUUCUAAUAACACCUCUAGAUUGUAAAACUUUUAAACAUUUUCAGAAUUUGAAACUAUAGGUUUCUAGUCUGUCCGGCGACUAUCAGAUAUUUAAUUAGUUACGUAUUUUCCAAUUUAAGAGUUUGUUGGUCCAAUGUAAGAGUAUUCCGGUGUCGUGAGGAAGUAUAACUUUCUUUUAAAAUUCUUUUUCCUGACACCAGAGGAUCAAGCAAUCCAUGAAAGCGAAGCUUCUUGGCCUUGACUAUCCCACCUUGAGAUUUGGUUCAGACUCUACGAUCNNNNNNNNNNNNNNNNNNNNNNNNNNNNNNNNNNNNNNNNNNNNNNNNNNNNNNNNNNNNNNNNNNNNNNNNNNNNNNNNNNNNNNNNNNNNNNNNNNNNCAAAUAAUUAAAUAAAUGAAAAUAGUUCUUCAAGUGGUACGAAUACUACUAUAUCGACAGUUUUUCUUUUUCACCACAAGAUGUUGAAUUUACCAAUACGUCAGGUUACAUGUUUUUCAAGAGUUUCAGAUAACUAAACAAGCUUAAAUCCCUUUCGCAUUUAUUUAUUUCUCAGUAACAAUUAACCAAUAUUAUUAUACUAUAUGUAAAUGUAGCUUUCCUUUUAACUUAUUUUUUUUUAAUGGACUUUUAACUUAUUUUUACUGACACCAGAAGAAUGCAUUAGCUCUUUCGAGUUGCGAGCUAAAAUAAAUCAUAUGUUUUGGACACUUGAUUUAUGAUCCAACAAUGGGAAGAUCUCCAACGAGUUUGUGAUCAUCUCAACAACAACCAGGAUGCGUUGGCAGAUCGUGGCUCUGAUAAGUGAUGCCAAAAUGCAAAUAUCCGCCUCUUACUUGUCCGAGACGGAAUGUCAUUUCUGAUACUGAUACCUUAAAGCUCAUGAAACACUUUCAAAUCCAAAUACCAAUUAAAUUAUCAAGAUCGUAUCCAAAACAUCUUAUCAUAAGACUAUCCUUGAACUUACACAACUGAAACCCGAAAUAUGAAAUAAACUAAACGUCUCAAAACGAGAAAACGUCUUUGAGUUCCCCAAAUUUAGCACCGCACUAAUCCUACAAUUCUUGAAUUAUCCCCAAACUUAGCACCGCACUAAAUGAAUGGGAGCUCUAAUUCAUCACCGGCAUUUAUAUUCAUGGCAAACGCAAGUUUAAAGCUAAAACACAUAACAAUCAUGCCCAAAGACACUCAUACAACAACAAAUGACUUCCUAGAAUUUGAGGUGUCUCUACGCCUCCACUCAUAUCUACCUCACUGGCUAUCAGUGGUCAUACCACCUUUGUGGACAUGUUCUAGAUUCAUCAGCUGUUAAUGAGCUAUGAUCGCCCACGUAAGGCCUUGACAUUAUACUCAACCAACAUUAUAGAAUAUGUCAUUUCCUUACUUGUGUAUACUAACGUACGGUACAGAAGUGUACAUCUUUAUCUACGUUGCACGGUUAGGAAAUGUCUCAUUUAUUUAAUUUAUGCCGCACGGUGAGGAAAUGUUUUCUUUUUUUGCCAAAAGGAUACACGGUGAGGAAAUGUUUCCUUCCUCACUUACCAUUUUCCUAUUGUCGUGCAUUAGAUAUGCUAAAAUUCAGAGAAUGACGAGGACUGAUUACAUUGAAGAAGAGGCUGCAUGGAUCUGAGUCACAAGAACAUGCAAAAACAUUCUUUUUCUAAGUAGGAUUUUUAUUUUCUCAUAUAAAAAUUUAGGAUAAUGUUUUGGUCAUAACUAAUUAAUAAUAAGGUUUUUAAAAAAUCAUCAUCAAAACAAGUAUAUAUUUCGUCAUGGGUCUAAUAUUAGGUCGUAAUUAUUGCUUUUAUUACAUAUACAAUUGACAUUACACAUCAUAAAGGGUGGUAGUAGUAUUUCAUCAUAUAUAAUUAUUAGAGCUGUGACAAUCUCAAGGUCUUAUUUAUGAAUACAGAAGAGAUUGUUGGAACGUUUGUAGAAUAGUAGUAUAUAUAUAUACGCCAGAGACUUGAGCAUGAUCACCAAUCGCUCAAGGGUCGCUGAUGCUUCCACCUGCACUGCUGCCGGCAUAUCCGUUACUGUAUCCAUUGCCGGUGGCACCACCAGGACCCGCUGCAGCAUAAGCACCGGUUUGACCGGAAGCCCCACUGCUAGAAUAAGCGUUUGCGUUGGGACCAUCCGCAGUGACAUCUCCGCUUGUACUUCCAUAGGUACUUCCAUAUCCACUGGCGCUUCUAGGACCAGCAGCAGCAUUGGCAGCGGAAUACUCCGAAUGGUAGGCACUUGUUGAAGCAGUAACGGAAAGCUCAGCUCCAAGACCGUUGGUAAGCUCAGCUCCAAGGCCGUUGUGAGUAGAGAU